UUCUAUACUUUAUCCCUUUUUGUAUGGCUUUCAUCCUUACUAUUACAUUUUAUCUAUAACAUUUCAAUUUUUCUUUAAGUAUUAGUAUUAUAUUAAAAUUGUGUGUAUUGUGCAACUAAAAUUUACAAAGAAGAAAGCCUUAUAUACCAUUAAAUAUUUUAUAUAGCAUAAUAAAAAGAAUAACUUAACUGGUAGGAAUAACAAAAAUAAUACACCCUCUGAAAAUAAGUAAAAUAUAAAAUGCAUAAAUUGGUUAAAAAACAGUGUAACUAUAUAAAUAUGUCCUCACAAUUUGUUACAUCUUAUUGAUUCUUCAAUAUAGGCAUUACACCAUUCUAGGUGAUGUGAUAAACAAGACAUUAUAGAGCUUACAUGGUACCAUGGAGAGAAAUGGUUAUUAAUAGUACAAUUGUAGAACUGUAUUAUUUAAUUGUACAGUUGCAUUAUUUAAUUAUAAUUAUCAUAAAUUCAUUGAUGGAGAGGAAAUCAGAAUCAGAUGUAAGAAGACUUCAGCAUUCCAAGAAUGAUGUCGAAUGACCCCCUUCAUGGUGGAUUAUGCCCUUAUUUACGAUGAAAUAUUCUUCAGAGAUUCCUUGUUUGUGUAUCAAUUGUAUUUUUGGUUUGCAGUUAUUCUGAAGUUUUGAUAUAAGAGUCUAUACGUAUAUGAGAUGGUUUUAAGUUGUUGUUCUCUUAAUUGCAAGUUCAUCUCCAGUGCCCUGCAUUUGUACCCACCUCUUCUCAUGAUUUCUGAUGUUGGUGGUAUAAUUGUGCAUGGAUGAUUUCGUAUCUUUACUGUGUAUAUACCUUUACUGGUGAGCCUUGUCAUUUGUGUUAUUUUUGUUUCCUGUUGCUGUGUUUUCUUUUCUGCCUAGAGAAGAUCCUUUAGUAUUUGUUGUAAGGCUGGUUUAGCGUUGCUGAAUUCCCUCAGUUUUUGCUUAUCUGUGAAGGUUUUGCUUUCUCCUUCAAAUCUGAAUGAGAGCCUUGCUGGGUAAAGGAAUCUUGGUUGGAGGUUUUUUCCUUUCAUCAUGUUGAGUAUAUCAUGCCACUCCCUUGUGGCCUGCAGAGUUUCUGCUGAAAAAUCUGCCGAUAACCUUAUUGGGGAUCCCUUGUAUGUUACUUGUUUCUUUUCCCUAGCUGCUUUCAAGAUUUUGUCUUUGUCUUUAAUUUUGGUCAGUUUGAUUAAUGUGUGUCUUGGGGUAUUCCUCCUUGGGUUUAUUUUAUGUGGUACUCGUUGUGCUUGCUGGAUUUGAGUGAGUGGUUCCUUUCCCAUGUGAGGCAAGUUUUUGGCUGUUAUCUCUUGGAAUAUUUUUUCUGUCUCCUCCUCUCUCUCUUCUUCUGGCACCCCUGUAAUACAGAUGUUGGUGCGUUUCACAUUGUCCCAGAGUUCUCUGAGACUCUCUUCAUUUGUUCUCAAUGUUUUUUCUCUUUUCUGUUCCGCAUCCGUAAUUUCCACGAAUCUGUCCUCCACCUCACUUAUUGGUUGUUGUGCCACCUGUCUUCUGCUGUUAGCUGCUUCUAGUGAGUUUUUUAUUUCAGUUAUUGUAUUUUGCAUCUCUUCUUGGUUAAGUUUUAUAUCUUGUAUCUCUUUGGUCAGUGUUUCCUGUAAGUUAUCCAUCUUUGCCUCCAGUUUAUGUCCAAUGUCUUGCAUCACCUUCAGCAUCAACAGUCUAAAGCCUUUUUCCUGGAGGCUGAGAAUCUCCUCAUCACUUAGCUGUUUUUCUGGGGUUUUUCCUUUCUCCCUCAGCUGAGUUAUAGUUCUCUGUCUUUUCAUGUGUAUAGGUUUUUGGUGUGGUGACCUUUUUAUGGAUAAUAGAGCUGUAGCCUCUCUUACUUUGGGUGUCUGCCCCCUUGUGGCUGAAGUGGGUAUGUGGGGCUUGCUGUAGGCUUCCUGAUGGGAGGGGCUGAUGCCUGCCCCCUGGUGGGUGGAGCCGAUUCUAAUCCCUCUGUUGGGUGGGGCUUAGUCUCUGGAUGGGAUUAGAGGCAUCUGUGUGCCUGGGGGUUCUUUAGGCAGCCUGUUUCCUGAGGGGCGGGGCUGUGAUCCCACCUGGGUUGUUGUUUGCCCUGGGGCUUCUCAGCAUCUGACUGAAGGGUGGGGCCACCUCCAGAGAAAGGUACAGCUGCUGAAUAUUCCAGAGAGCUUUGCCUUCAAUGUCCUUCCCUCACACCAAGCCACAUUCACCCCUGUUUUCCCAGGAUGACCUCCAAGAACUGCAGUCAGGUUUGACCUAGGUUCCUGUGGAGACUUUUCUUUGCCCUGGGACCCAGUGCACGUGAAAGUCUGUGUGGGCCUUUUAAGAGUGGGGUCUUCGUUCCCCCAGUGCUGUGGUGCUCCUGCGCACAAGCCCCACCGGCCUUCAUGCCAGAUGCUCCAGGGGCUCUUUCUCCCAGUGCCGGAUCCCAGCAUGUGAGGGUUUGAUGUGGGGCUCUCACUCCUGUAGGUGAGUCUCUGUGAACCAGUUAGUUUUCAGUCUGUGGGGCUUCCCACCCGGGAGGUAUGGGGUUGUUUGUAUGGUGAAAUCGCCCCUCCUACCUCUUGAUGUGGCCUCCUCUUUUUCUUCUGGAGUAGGGUAUCUUUUGUAAGAUUUCCAGUCCAUUUGGGUGGAGAUUGCUCAGCGUUUAGUUGUGAAUUUUGUUGUUUUUAGGAGAGAAGUUGAACUCCAGUCCUUCUAUUCCACCAUCUUA
rnacentral:lncRNA from 1 species